rnacentral:rRNA from 1 species
CCAGACUCCUACGGGAGGCAGCAGUGGGGGAUAUUGCACAAUGGGGGAAACCCUGAUGCAGCGACGCCGCGUGUGGGAAGACGGUCCUCUGGAUUGUAAACCACUGUCCCCAGGGACGAAGAUGACGGUACCUGGGGAGGAAGCUCCGGCUAACUACGUGCCAGCAGCCGCGGUAAUACGGAGGAUGCGAGCGUUAUCCGGAUUUAUUGGGUUUAAAGGGUGCGUAGGCGGACUGUUAAGUCAGCGGUAAACGCCGGGGCCCCAACCCCGGCGAGCCGUUGAAACUGGCUGUCUUGAGAUGUCGAGAGGUAUGCGGAAUGCGCAGUGUAGCGGUGAAAUGCUUAGAUAUUGCGCAGAACUCCGAUUGCGAAGGCAGCAUACCGGCGGCGAUCUGACGCUGAGGCACGAAAGCGUGGGUAUCGAACAGGAUUAGAUACCCGAGUA